rnacentral:rRNA from 1 species
UACGGGGGGGGGCAAGCGUUGUUCGGAAUUACUGGGCGUAAAGGGCUCGUAGGCGGCCAACUAAGCCAGACGUGAAAUCCCUCGGCUUAACCGGGGAACUGCGUCUGAUACUGGAUGGCUUGAGGUUGGGAGAGGGAUGCGGAAUUCCAGGUGUAGCGGUGAAAUGCGUAGAUAUCUGGAGGAACACCGGUGGCGAAGGCGGCAUCCUGGACCAAUUCUGACGCUGAGGAGCGAAAGCCAGGGGAGCAAACGGG